GGGGUGAGCAGUGUCUUCCCCACUGAUUGUGGGGGCUUGGCCGUCCCACCGGCUUUGGCCAACAGCCUGUGGGCAGAAGUGACAGAGGAUUGAAAUGCGCUUGGGAGCUGGACUUGGGCUCUGCACUCUUGAUUUGCUAAGAGCACAUUCCUGGCUGGUCUGUUGGCCAAAAAGGUGGAGACUCAAGGGGAAAAGCUGAACCCCACCUGGCGCAGGGAGCCAGCUCCAGCUGCGCUGAGGGUGACGUUUUGAGACACAGUGUCAUUUUCCUCAGCGUUAUUAUGGCAACGGCUGGAUUAGAGAUCGAACAAACCACUUCCUCAUCCAGAACGUGGGCCCUCCUACCAACCACAGCGUGUAAGGUGCCUGGGGCGUUCAGCAGGCCACGGACUCUGUGCUCACGUCCCCCCCAUCCAGGGCUCUACCCCUGGGGGACCUGAGGUAUGUGGGGGCCCCCGUGUGGCUCCACAGUUCCACCACCUCCUCCGCACGGAGCAGAGCAGAACUGGGACCUGUAAUUCCGCAGGCCUUAGGCUGCUGUUGGCUCUUCUGAACUUGUACCCUUGUUUCAAUUUAGGGCUCUAAGAAUUUAUGUUUUGGGUUCAACCAUACAUUUAAAAUGGUUUUUGUUGUCUUUUUUUUUUUUUUUUUAAGACAGCGUGCAAGCAGAGUUGGACACGGGGCCCAAUCCCAUGAUCCUGGGAUCAUGACCUGAGUUGGAAAACACAUUGGAUGCUAAAACGACCGAGCUGCCCUUAAGAUGAAAUUUGUGAAAGUUCAUCUUAGCCAGCAUUUUGGGAACUCAGUAGUGGGAGGUGCUUCAAAGCUGGUGGAAUCUGGGAGCCUCACAUGGGAGAGCAGCAGCCAAGGGCCUGGGGCUGAUCCCAGCACAUCUGCCCUCAGUGCUCACCAGAGGGCAGCGUGGAGUCGUGUGGAGCCCGGUCUCUGUUCCUGGCAAAGAUGAGGACCCCCUGAGCCCAGCCAUGAGCCGGCGCCCGACGCAGGAGCCCUCUGCACCCUGGCCAUGGAGCUGCUGACCCUGCCACCACCCCCCAGAGUGGAUGUAUCCGAGCCCCCCUGUCACGGAGAUGUGAACAUGGCUGCACACGCUCUUCCACUUGGUAGAGGUGAGCCUUCCCUCAGGGUG
rnacentral:lncRNA from 1 species